CCGGACGUAGCUCAAAUGGUAGAGAUAGGUCUCUUUUUAGAGUACGGGCCCCUAAUUAUGUUCGUGUAUACGGGUUCGAGUCCCGUCGUCCGGU
rnacentral:tRNA from 1 species